AACCUCCGCAAUGUACGAAAGUGCGACGGGGGGAUCCCAAGUGUUAUGCUUUUUUGUAUAACUUUUCAUUAGUGUAAAAAGCUUUUAGAAUAAGAGCUGGGCAAGGCCGGUGCCAGCCGCCGCGGUAACACCGGCAGCUCGAGUGGUAGCUGUUUUUAUUGGGCCUAAAGCGUUCGUAGCCGGUUUGAUAAGUCUUUGGUGAAAGCUUGUAGCUUAACUAUAAGAAUUGCUGGAGAUACUAUCAGACUUGAAGUCGGGAGAGGUUAGAGGUACUACCGGGGUAGGGGUGAAAUCCUAUAAUCCUGGGAGGACCACCUGUGGCGAAGGCGUCUAACUGGAACGAUCUUGACGGUGAGUAACGAAAGCCAGGGGCGCGAACCGGAUUAGAUACCCGGGUAUCCUGGCCGUAAACGAUGUGGACUUGGUGUUGGAAUGGCUUUGGGUUGUUCCGGUGCCGAAGGGAAGCUGUUAAGUCCACCGCCUGGGAGUACGGUCGCAAGAUUGAAACUUAAAGGAAUU
rnacentral:rRNA from 1 species